AUACGGAGGGUGCAAGCGUUGUUCGGAAUUACUGGGCGUAAAGCGUGCGUAGGCGGCCUUGUAAGUCGAAUGUGAAAGCCCUGGGCUCAACCCAGGAAUUGCAUCCGAUACUGCAGGGCUUGAGUAUGGGAGAGGGAAGCAGAAUUCCUGGUGUAGCGGUGAAAUGCGUAGAUAUCAGGAGGAACACCUGUGGCGAAAGCGGCUUCCUGGCCCAUUACUGACGCUGAGGCACGAGAGCGUGGGGAGCAAACAGGAUUAGAUACCCGAGUAGUCC
rnacentral:rRNA from 1 species